AUCUGACUAUUAUGAGCGCAUUUAUUUCACGAGGGCUUGUACACAAAAACGGGGAUGUAAUGCCGAGGCUCUAUAAGGCGCUGGUCAGACCGCAUUUGGAAUAUUGUGAGUCA